UACAGAGGUCUCAAGCGUUGCUCGGAAUCACUGGGCUUAAAGGGCGCGUAGGCGGGUGUGCAAGUCUGUGGUGAAAGCCCCCGGCUCAACCGGGGAAGUGCCGUGGAUACUGCGCAUCUUGAGGAGGGUAGGGGCAUCUGGAACGGUCGGUGGAGCGGUGAAAUGCGUUGAUAUCGACCGGAACUCCGGUGGCGAAGGCGAGGUGCUGGACCCUUUCUGACGCUGAGGCGCGAAAGCCAGGGGAGCGAA
rnacentral:rRNA from 1 species